GGAGGUGUGUGUCAGUGAUGGCACAGCUGAACAUUGAUCGCUCGGUUUCUCUAGCAGAUCUGCUCAGUAAGUGCAGUCACGUGGUCGAUCCAGCAACCAAUGGACUCCGCCGAUGCCUUGCCGCACGGCCGGAUGAUCCCGUGGUUUCUUGAACGUCCGCCAUUUCCAAAUUGGGGGGUUACGGAUGGGUUUCAUUUAAGACACCUCCAUAAUAGGGCACUGCAGUUUCAGCAGUUCGCCAUUUUUUUG
rnacentral:snRNA from 14 species